rnacentral:tRNA from 1 species
GCGGAUGUAGCUCAGUUGGAUAGAGCAAUGGAUUUCUAAUCCAUGUGUCGGAAGUUUGAAUCUCUCCAUCCGUACCA